rnacentral:lncRNA from 1 species
GGACAACGAGGUUUUGUUACAGGAGGUAAUUUAGCCAGCACUUUUUUCUGGAACACUUUUCAAGUUCUGUAUUUAACUGGGAUUGGAACCGUUUGUUUGUUUUCUUAAAAAAAAAAAAAAAGGAAAAAAAAAGAAAGAAAAAAAGGAGAAAAAAAGGAGAAAAAAAAGAUAAAAAGAUAAAAAAUAAAUGAAACAAAAGGAGAAAAUUAAUAAUAAUGGAUGAAGAGAGAAACCCCCGUUUUUCCCCCUCCGCACUCGAACCCGCUCCGCCUGCCAACCUCCGGCUCUGCUUUCCGGACUGCCGCCCCCCCGCCCUGCAGCAGGACAAUCGGACGGACGGACGGACGGACAGAGCGCAGGGGCGCGGGCAGGGAGGGCAGGAGGGGACCCGGGGCUCGGCGCCGGGUGCCCCCUGCCCACAGCCCGGCCGGGGGCCCCUGGGCCGCCCGGGGAGGCCGUUUGGGGAUUCUUUUCUUUUUCUCGUCCCUCCCCGCCCGCCGCGGGGGCUGCUCCCGCCGGAUGGACAGCGAUGGCUGUUGGUGGAGCGCUGACCCCCGCCAGGCUCCGGCAGCGUCGCCAGCGGGGCUCGGAGACGCCAGCAGCACCAGCCCCGCACCCCCGGCCCGUCCUGGCCACCGGAGCGGAGAGGAGAGGAAAACAGAAGAAGAGAGGAGAGGAGGGGGCCGCCUCCGGAGGGGACCCCGCUCCGCCGCCCCCGCUUCGCCCCCGGCCCCCGCCUCGGCCGUGGCGCCGGCGCCGCGUUCUCUCCCUCCUCCCAGCCAGAAGCAGAGGGACUCUUUUAAGUUCUAUUUUUUAUUUGAUUAAUUUUCAUUUUCUGCACAAAACCAGCAAUUGUAAAUACUUUUGAAGAAAAGAAGUUAAAAAAAAAUGUUUAAGGAUAAAAAAAAAAAAAUUUAAAAAGCUGAAAAAUCAUGUUAAAAAAAAAAAGAGAGAAUCAUGCACCGGAGGGAGAAUCCGAAAAUGAUGGAGAACAGGCCUAAAGCAUCCAAGAGGUGAAUAUGCAGCAGAAAAGAGCAAAACCCCCCCCAGUAUGCACUGAGAAAAAAUUUAUUUACAGAUCGAGCAACAAAAAAAAAAAGAAAAAAAAAAAGAAAAAAGUAACAAUAACCUAUUUAUUGUAUAUAAUGUUUUAUUAUAAAUCGUGUCUUGUAUAUUGCAUUCUGUACAUCUGCUGUGGUUUUGUGGUGUGCAACUUCCGCAUGGGUUCCUUGGGUUUCCGUUGCCUUUUUUUUAAUGAUUCAAUGAUGAUUUGAGUUUUAUUUUUAUUAUUAUUCUGAAGAACGAAGGCGGGUUUUUGAUUUUUUUUGUUGGGUUUUUUGGUUGGUUUUUUUUUUGGCAGUACACACCCAAAGAUCCAAAUUUGUAUAAAAACAAAAAGGAGUUUAAAAAAAAAAAAAGAAAAAAACUUUUAAAAAAAGUUUAAAAAAAUAAGAAAUAAAUCAAUCACAGACCCUCUUGGUGGGGAGGGA